rnacentral:rRNA from 1 species
UACGUAGGGGACGAGCGUUGUCCGGAUUCAUUGGGCGUAAAGCGCGCGUAGGCGGCUCGGAAAGUCGGGCGUGAAAUCCCGGGGCUCAACCCCGGAACUGCACUUGAUACUGCUCUGCUAGAGUACUGGAGAGGAGACUGGAAUUUACGGUGUAGCAGUGAAAUGCGUAGAUAUCGUAAGGAAGACCAGUGGCGAAGGCGAGUCUCUGGACAGUUACUGACGCUGAGGCACGAAGGCCAGGGGGAGCAAACGGG